CAGACAGAGACUGACAGACAGACAGAGACAGACAGACAGACAGACAGGCAGUCUCUGUUUCUCUCUACCAUGUGUCCUGGAUUGCCUGAAGUGGUGUCAUCUCUCUCUCCGUUCUCCAUGUCUCUGACCUGCAGUUGAUCCACCUCUCUUACUUCAAUCACUCCUUCCACCGACCUGAGAGGCGGAGAAAGAGGGAGGGUUUAAAGAGGGGUAGAGAGAGAGAGAGGGUUUAAAGAGGGUAGAGAGACGUAGGGUUUAAAGAGGGUAGAGAGGUAGGGUUUAAAGAGGGUAGAGAGACGUAGGGUUUAAAGAGGGUAGAGAGACGUAGGGUUUAAAGAGGGUAGAGAGAGAGAGGGUUUAAAGAGGGUAGAGAGACAUAGGAUUUAAAGAGGGUAGAGAGGUAGGGUUUAAAGGGGGGUAGAGAGAGAGGUUUUAAAGAGGGUAGAGAGACGUAGGGUUUAAAGAGGGUAGAGAGGUAGGGUUUAAAGAGGGGUAGAGAGACGUAGGGUUUAAAGAGGGGUAGAGAGACGUAGGGUUUAAAGAGGGUAGAAAGAGAGAGGGUUUAAAGAGGGUAGAGAGAUGUAGGGUUUAAAGAGGGUAGAGAGAGAGAGGGUUUAAAGAGGGUAGAGAGGUAGGGUUUAAAGGAGGGUAGAGAGAGAGGGUUUAAAGAGGGUAGAGAGAGAGAGGGUUUAAAGAGGGUAGAGAGGUAGGAUUUAAAGAGGGUAGAGAGAGGGUUUAAAGAGGGUAGAGAGACGUAGAGUUUAAAGAGGGUAGAGAGGUAGGGUUUAAAGAGGGUAGAGAGACGUAGGGUUUAAAGAGGGUAGAGAGACGUAGGGUUUAAAGAGGGUAGAGAGAGAGAGGGUUUAAAGAGGGUAGAGAGACAUAGGGUUUAAAGAGGGUAGAGAGGUAGGGUUUAAAGGGGGGUAGAGAGAGAGGGUUUAAAGAGGGUAGAGAGACGUAGGGUUUAAAGAGGGUAGAGAGAUGUAGGGUUUAAAGAGGGGUAGAGAGACGUAGGGUUUAAAGAGGGGUAGAGAGA
ensembl:lncRNA